rnacentral:misc_RNA from 1 species
AAUUGGUAUGUGCAAGUAUGUAAAAUUUGCAUAGCUUGUGCAAGAGGUUAUGCAAUUCGGACAUGUGAAUGCAAAUUAAGAAUGAAUAGUGCCGCAAAAUUAAAAAAUGAGUCAAUUUAAAAUUUGGUGCCCAUAACUCAAUUGCUUUCAAAACUAUUAACUAUUUACACUUAAAUAACACCAAGUGCUAAAUUAGAACCUAAAAUUUUCACAAUUUCCACGUAAGAUCAUCCAAUCAAUCCUCAAUACAAGAAAAUUAUCAAUUAAUUCAACAUUUACAGUAAAAGAACAUAUAGUAGCACACCAUCCACUUAUCAAAAUAAAAAAUAAGAGAUGAAGGAACUCCCUUAAAUGUUGCCUUUUGUAAAAUAUAAGCUCUUCACAACAACUCUUCGUUUUGCCAAGUUGACAAAACCUGUUGUAUGAUAUCAGAUUCAAUUCCUCAAUUUGCAAUUUCACAUCUUCGAUCUUAUAAACAUCUGUAUAAAAUAAAAUGAGACAAUUAUCAAAAAUUCAAUUCAAGAGUGAUUGGAAAAAAGAUAAAACA